GCCUCAGUGGUGGAAUUGGUAGACACGUUGGAUUCAAAAUCCAAUGCUUCACGGCGUGCCGGUUCGAUUCCGGCCUGAGGUACAA
rnacentral:tRNA from 5 species